UCGGAAUGGGGUGACGGUGGAGGUGGGUGGAGGAUGGAGGGGACCUGCUCCCUCUUUCAUCCAGAGAAGCGGGGCGGUUGGAGGGGGUGGGGGGAACGAUCGAGGGGCCCUUCUCUCGGCUCUGCGCCCUACGCCCCCGCUUGCGGGCGCCCUGCGCAUCUCUGCCUCCGGCCCAGCCCUGCCCCGGAGACGCGCGCUCCGGCCGGCGCAGAGGGAUCCGGCUAGGCGUCGGGCCCCGGGGUCCGCGCCAGUCUUGGGGGGCGCGAGUCGAGGAGGAGGCUCUCUUAGGGUCAGAUCCUGAUUCACUCCUUUCCUCGGGGCCGGGGGCCGGGGCAGGCAAGAGAUAUCCAGAUGGAAGAUGGAGCGGUGGGGGGCGAGAGAACACGUGGGGAAAACCAAAAACGCAAGAGUCCCUGUGUUCUGUCCCCAGCUCUUAAUAGCUGCCCUUUCUUUUCUCUCGGGCCCCGGGGAGCAGGAGUCGGGACGGCUCGGGGAAGCUGGGCACCCCCACCCCACCCCUUCGCUUCCCUUGGCCUUUUCCGCCCUGUUUCACUUCCUUUCGCAUCCCCACCACCCCUUCCUCGCCAGACCUCUUCCUCCUUCCUCUUCGCGGAGGCUCCCUAGGGUGACCCCAAGGAGGGUCGCGCACCACCCUCUGCGGGCAAACUUUGUGCCUCUCGGCGUCUCCCUUUUGUGUUAAGUUGCGAGAGAUGGGAGGGGUCGGAGACCCACAACCACCUCGCACCUUCCCCAAGCCUAGACAUCCAGGGUAUUCGCGCGCACCCUCGGAUUCACCCGGAGAGGGAGAAGGUCCCCGGGAACAAAAGCCGCGACACUCCGCCCUCGCCAGCCCCGGGGCGCGGUGGUCUGUGCGCCACCGAGCGUCCCGCCUGACUCCCUUCCCCGCGCUGCGAGUCAGUCCCGGAGGGGGCUGGGGCGCUGCUGAGGGACGCGCUGGCCGCGUCUCGGAACCCCUCAUCUUCUCCUCCUUCCCCCCAUCACCUCCGAGGCUGGCUCAUUCUUUUCUCGGUUGCAAAGUCCUUGGGGGAAAAAUACGCGGAGAGUGCGGCGUGCGUCUGGAAAGGGCAGGGGCGGGUGGCGGGGCUGCACGAGUUCUCCCCUCCUGUGCAUCAAAGGAGGCGUUUGUCGGAUCGAGGCGCGGCCACUUCCCUGGCAGCGCCGGGCACUGUGAUUUAGUUCCCCCCGGGGGGCGCGGGCUGCUGGGGAGGGUCCUCGGGGUCAUUUUUUUUUUUAGGGUGCAGAUAAAAGGCUGGAAAUUGAGCGAAGAUUAAGACGGAGAAGAUGGCGCCUCUGCAGUGCAGCAAAGAAAAGCUGUGGAGGCUGCAGCCUGGGAAAUCCACCCACCACUAGGUGUAUAUAACAAGUCUGCCCCAUUCAUCCAACUCUCCCAACAUUCAGCUGACGCCUGUGCCAAAUCACUGUUUUCCUUUUUAUCUGAAGAUGCUUAGAAGUUGUUUGCUUGACAGCUGGGGCAAAAAAGGUCGUAAUUUUGCAUCGUUUGGGUUCCCAUUCGGUAUUUUACCAUUCGUCACCUCACCUCCCCGUUUUUACCUCCAACUUUUCCCCUUCCUCAUGGUAAUUUUCCCAAAAAAACAAUUUCUGAACAGAUGUUUUCCUGUAAUUCCACUGAGACUGUACUGACUCUCACACCCGGACAGCGUUUUAGUCCCUAAUUUACAAGGUCAUUGAACUUUUUCCUCUUCUUUUACCUACGAGUGGCUCUAAAGUGGCUCAAGAAUCACCUCGGGGCUCGUUAAGGCAGAUUGUUUUAAGAGUUGAAGAAUUUGGUUAUUCUGUUUUAAAAAAUGCAUUUAAUUAAGGGAGCUAGGCUUUUUCCAGUACUUAAAAUUUACUCCUACAAUUAUUUGUUUUCUCAUUGUCUUAUUACACGUUGAAAGACACAAAUUAAGUAAUUAAAAGCCUUUAUAAGCUUUUGUCAAAAAGUAGAUGUUUAAGUUUUUUGAGCAGUAUAUUUUUGUGUGUGAAAGAGGCAAAUAUGAUUCAGAUUUCUUUUUCAGCCUGUUUGAUUGCAGUUUUUGCUCUUCCAUCUUUUUGGACAUUUUCACUGGUUACUGUCACCUCCUUCAAAGGGUGGAGGUGAGAUGCAUGUUAAUUCAUUUUGCAAAGCAUUAAGGUAGGCAGUUCACUCUGCUGAGGUUUGAGGGGAUUUCUGGAGCUAAGUCACUGUCCACUGAAAAGAUGUUAAUUAUGACUUGACUGUCUUUUGUAGGGCUUAGAAAAUAGGUCUGCUGCAGAUGACUUGAGACAAGAAAUGAAUAAGGGCAAUGAUCACGGGAUGGGGGGGUGGGCUCGGCCUCUGGGAAAAGCAUCAUUACCGGAGCUGAUGAUUUUCCCUGGUACAGUGACAGGGUAUGAGUUAAAAAGGCCCUGACAUUUAUUUAAACUGGCUUCCUCUUAAAUUUUAUUUUCCAGUAUUGUGGGGUUUAACCUAAUUCACAAGUAUCUGCUUUGAUUGCGGUGCUAAUUCAGAGAUUAUAGAUACCUACUCACACUGGUCAAAACAGCCCUAAUGGUGGAUGCCUGGGGUCACAAUUGUGAAGCUCAGAUUUGAUGGUGAGCUAUAAGGAGUCACCGUUUCUGGCUGACCAGUGGGAAGCCAUGAUAACCAUAGGGCACCCAAGCGGCUGUCUUGUCACCCUGUUGAGCAGAGGUACCUGAUGGGCACUUGGCAGGCCAUUAGUACUGCAGAGAAGUACUCCAGACAGAAUAAUGAUCCCUGGUUCUGACUGGGGAAAUAAAGAGAAACAUACAACUAAAUAGAUCACAAGGUUAGAUUAGGAAUGAUUGAAAAGAAAGGAUGUGGUCCAUUGGUCUGAAGGAAAACAGGACAGACUCCACAUAAAGAACAGACGUGAUUGCAAAGGGGUAAGGGGAAGGCAGGGAUUGGAUUGGGAGUUUGGGACUGGCAGAUGCAACCUCUUAUAUAUGGGAUGGAUAAAUAACAGGUCCUACAGUGUAGCACAGGGAAUUAUGUUCAAUACCUUGUAAUAAACCAUAUGGAAAAGAAAAAAAGAAAAAUGUAGAGGUAAUCGUCAUGAAAAAAGGCUUUCUCCCUUUUGCUAGAGGGCCUCUAUUUUAUGUUUAUGGUGUUUUAUGUUUAUGGUGUACUAGAGACUUCUGUGCAGAUAUUUGUAUGAAGCUGAAGGUGUCAGUCAUUCUUGAAAUAAGCAGAGCUAUUACAUACCUUUCCUGUGGCUCUUAAACUACCAUUGAAGAAUAUGGUAAAAUUCAGUAGAAAUCUCUAGUCUCUUUCUGCACAUUUGAUCUAGGUGGGGAUAUGUAUUACUUUAAGAGACUUAGAAAGUAUCUUUGAUUACUAUAGUUCUCUAAACUCUGCCUAGUUGUAUCAGUUACAAAUGCAAAGAUAAACCUUAUACAUGUACUUUAUAAAUAAAGCUCUAGGAUGUAAGGUUUACUUUGACUUGCAUACUGUAUUCUCGUGUUCCCAGGAAGUUUGCAGAGUAAAUAAGACAGGCACAUGAUUAUAAAAGAAAACAGAAAAUGUUAAGUACCAAGAGGAAAGUACUGAUUAAGUGGUAUACUGAGUAAAAGUAUUAACAGUAUAAACAUCUGUAUAUAAGGAAUAAAGGAACCAUGGGAUGAGAUAAUCCUUGAGAAUUUCCUAAUGAUUCCUUUCCAGCCAGAUUUGUAUCUUAGGUUUGGGGAAGGGAGUUUAAAUCUUUGCAUUUAUAGUAUCUGUUUACAUACCUGUCUCGAGAGCACAUGCCCCGAGGAUGUGGGCAGAGCCAGUGUGGGAUUUAAUUUUCCUUGUGUCCCUAUUUAUUCAUUAGGGCCAUUUUAAGUUGAGUCUCCUGGGGCCAAGCUCUGGUCUGUACCUCUGAAGAUAGCCUGGUGAACAAAAACCAUCACUUGCUUCAGGAAGCUUCCAGUCUAGUGGGCAAGACAGAGGAUAAACAAAUCAUCCUACAUGUGUGCUCAUGAACUGUGACAGAUGGUGAGACGGAUGGCAAAGGUGUAGGAUACACGCUGGAGAGGAGUGCCUGCUCAGACGCUAAAUUAUGUCUGACUCUUUGCCACCCCAUGGACUGUAGCACACCAGGCUCCUCUGUCCGGAGGAUUUCCCAGGCAAGAGUACUGCAGUGGGUUGCCAUCUCCUUCUCCCUGGGCUCUUCCUGACCCAGGGAUCGAACCCAGGUCUCCUGCCUUGACAGGCAGAUUCUUUACUCCUGAGCCACGAGGGAGGCCCGGGAGAGGAAUAGCGAAUUCCGAAUAAGGAUUGAGGGGCCAAGAGCUCUGAUGCAGCAUCUUCAUUAGAACCUUGACUGAAGAAGUGGGUACCCGAUGAAAACACUGAUUCACUGGGCAGCAGCAAGGAGCAUGGGGAAAAUAAAAUGUUUCUUUUGUUUUUUGAUUCUUUUCCUGGUGCUCUUCUACCUUCAUGUUCCAAUUGACUAUGAAAUGGUUUUCUUUUCAUAGUAGGACCUCACAUACUUGUGGAAGUAUUCCUCUAUACAUUCUUCCAUAUGGAUAGGGUGGGAAUUGAUACUCACACCAGCUUCUGCAAAUCCUUGGGGACGCUGGCACCCUGUGGCUUAAUGGUUCAUAUCCAGAUACACCCUCUUCAGUGGCUGGAGGAAGACAGGCUGGCAGGCGGAGGAGGCCAAAGUGAUGGAAUGAAUAGACCCCCCGCCCUCCUGAAGGAGUAGCAAGCUUAAGCCAGAAAAAUGUAUAUUUCUUCAUUUUCCUUGUAUUCAUUAGUAAAAGGAAAGCUAAUAGUACCUGAACCCUCAAACUGAAUUUGGAAAUGAAAACCAGGAUGAAGGGGGAAAUGUUAUGUAACUUUCUUCAGUUUAAUGUGGUCCCUUUAAGAAACAACCAUUUUGGUGAAGACACUGAUGUUUUCCUUUGAAAAAAGAUCUCAUGAAUUUUCCUCUUCAGGUUAAAGAAAAUGAAUAAACCAGUUUGGCCAAGGAAGAUACCAGAUGCCAGCAAAAGAAUUUUGGUCCUACCUAGACUGGAAGCUUUAAAUAAUUUUCACCAAAGGACAAGGAAACCUAAAAGCAAGACUGCCUGAGAUGGCAACACUUCUGGAAGAAACCAACUUUCAAAAUAAAAUGAAUUAUGUUAAUAUC